rnacentral:rRNA from 1 species
AUGACGGGGCCCGCACAAGCGGUGGAGUAUGUGGUUUAAUUCGAUGCAACGCGAAGAACCUUACCUGGUCUUGACAUCCCGGAGACCCUUAGGAAACUAGGGGGUGCUUCCAUCUGGAAGAAUCUGGAGACAGGUGCUGCAUGGCUGUCGUCAGCUCGUGUCGUGAGAUGUUGGGUUAAGUCCCGCAACGAGCGCAACCCUUGCCUUUAGUUGCCAGCAGUUCGGCUGGGCACUCUAAAGGGACUGCCGGUGUUAAACCGGAGGAAGGUGGGGAUGACGUCAAGUCCUCAUGGCCUUUAUGACCAGGGCUACACACGUACUACAAUGGCCGAUACAAAGGGCAGCGACACUGCGAGGUGAAGCCAAUCCCGUAAAAUCGGUCUCAGUCCGGAUUGGAGUCUGCAACUCGACUCCAUGAAGUUGGAAUCGCUAGUAAUCGUGGAUCAGCAUGCCACGGUGAAUACGUUCCCGGGCCUU